rnacentral:rRNA from 1 species
GACGGAGGAUGCAAGUGUUAUCCGGAAUCACUGGGCGUAAAGCGUCUGUAGGUGGUUUAAAAAGUCUGCCGUUAAAAAUUGAAGCUUAACUUCAAAGGUGCCGUAGAAACUUUUAAACUUGAGGAUGGUAGGGGUAGAGGGAAUUUCCAGUGGAGCGGUGAAAUGCGUAGAUCUUGGAAAGACCACCAAUGGCGAAGGCACUCUACUGGGCCAUGACUGACACUGAGGGACGAAAGCUAGGGGAGCGAAAGGG